AUUGAACGCUAGCGGGAUGCCUUACACAUGCAAGUCGAACGGCAGCACGAAGAAAGCUUGCUUUCUUUGGUGGCGAGUGGCGAACGGGUGAGUAAUGUAUCGGAACGUGCCCAGUAAUGGGGGAUAACUACGCGAAAGCGUGGCUAAUACCGCAUACGCCCUACGGGGGAAAGGGGGGGAUCUUAGGACCUCUCGUUAUUGGAGCGGCCGAUAUCGGAUUAGCUAGUUGGUGGGGUAAUGGCCUACCAAGGCGACGAUCCGUAGCUGGUUUGAGAGGACGACCAGCCACACUGGGACUGAGACACGGCCCAGACUCCUACGGGAGGCAGCAGUGGGGAAUUUUCGACAAUGGGGGAAACCCUGAUCGAGCCAUCCCGCGUGUGCGAUGAAGGCCUUCGGGUUGUAAAGCACUUUUGUCAGGGAAGAAAAGUCACUUACUAAUACUGGGUGAUGAUGACGGUACCUGAAGAAUAAGCACCGGCUAACUACGUG
rnacentral:rRNA from 1 species